rnacentral:lncRNA from 1 species
CACUCAAAGCCUUUGUUACACUAUUUAUGACUCACACUUAGUAAUGCUCACCCAAUUACCUUUCCUAGUAUAUCUUCAUCUUGUUAAAGUGUAUGAGAACUGCUUUGGAGAGUCUAAUAAGUCCAAAUGAGCAUUAAAAAGGAGAGAGAGUAGGAGAAGUAUCUCUUGAGAAAGCAAGUCACCUAGUUCUGAAGUAGCUGGCCUUGCACAGAAGGAUUAAAAAGCGAGCACAGGCUGAGUGCAGUGGGUCACGCCUGUAGUCUCAGCACUUUGGGAGGUCGAGGUAGGCAGAUUGCUGGAACUCAGGAGUUCGAGACCAGCCUGGACAACAUGGCAAAAUCCUGUUUCUACAAAAGGACUGUUUUCUAUUUGAUUGGGAAGUGUUAGAAUGGCAACAGUGACAAAUCCUGUGGCAAAUCUUCAUGCAAAGGUCUUUGGUGUUUCUUUAAUUUCAUAUAUAUUACCUACUAUGUGACAAGCACACUGUGCCAGGUUCCAAAUAUAAAAGAGUAAAUUAAGGAAUGCAUUAUAGCUGUUAAAGCAAUCUUAAGGGAAAUCCGAAGCUUCCACUGCAGCACCAUGCUUGGUAAAACCAACUGGAUAAUA